rnacentral:rRNA from 1 species
AUUGAACGCUGGCGGCAGGCUUAACACAUGCAAGUCGAGCGGAGAUGAGGUGCUUGCACCUUAUCUUAGCGGCGGACGGGUGAGUAAUGCUUAGGAAUCUGCCUAUUAGUGGGGGACAACAUUCCGAAAGGAAUGCUAAUACCGCAUACGUCCUACGGGAGAAAGCAGGGGAUCUUCGGACCUUGCGCUAAUAGAUGAGCCUAAGUCGGAUUAGCUAGUUGGUGGGGUAAAGGCCUACCAAGGCGACGAUCUGUAGCGGGUCUGAGAGGAUGAGCCGCCACACUGGGACUGAGACACGGCCCAGACUCCUACGGGAGGCAGCAGUGGGGAAUAUUGGACAAUGGGGGGAACCCUGAUCUAGCCAUGCCGCGUGUGUGAAGAAGGCCUUAUGGUUGUAAAGCACUUUAAGCGAGGAGGAGGCUACUGAGACUAAUACUCUUGGAUAGUGGACGUUACUCGCAGAAUAAGCACCGGCUAACUCUGUGCCAGCCGUCGCAGUAA